AUGAUUGCGAAUGGUUGCCUUCAGUGCUGGCCGGCUUCGGCUUUGGCAAGUGCACGUCGGUGACUUUCAUCCAAUACCCUGUGAACCUUUGGCCUCUGCUAGCUUCGGCCGGCAGAGGAUUUUUACACACACACUCGAAUGUAAUGAAAACGUUUGUCGUGCGCAAGCACUAAUGUA
rnacentral:misc_RNA from 1 species